rnacentral:rRNA from 1 species
GACGAACGCUGGCGGCGUGCCUAAUACAUGCAAGUAGAACGCUGAAGGAGGAGCUUGCUUCUCUGGAUGAGUUGCGAACGGGUGAGUAACGCGUAGGUAACCUGCCUGGUAGCGGGGGAUAACUAUUGGAAACGAUAGCUAAUACCGCAUAAUAGUAGAUGUCGCAUGACAUUUGCUUAAAAGGUGCAAUUGCAUCACUACCAGAUGGACCUGCGUUGUAUUAGCUAGUUGGUGAGGUAACGGCUCACCAAGGCAACGAUACAUAGCCGACCUGAGAGGGUGAUCGGCCACACUGGGACUGAGACACGGCCCAGACUCCUACGGGAGGAAGCAGUAGGGAAUCUUCGGCAAUGGACGGAAGUCUGACCGAGCAACGCCGCGUGAGUGAAGAAGGUUGUCGGAUCGUAAAGCUCUGUUGUAAGAGAAGAACGAGUGUGAGAGUGGAAAGUUCACACUGUGACGGUAUCUUACCAGAAAGGGACGGCUAACUACGUG